GCGGGCUCGGGCUCGGGCUCGGGCUCGGGCUCGGCCUCGGAGCCGCCCCUGCGGCAGGUUGCGCGGUCGUGCCCUUGGCUGCGCGAGGCUCGGAGCCCGGGCCGCGGGGCGCGCUCUCUCGGGGCCCGGACCGCCCGGAUCGCCGGCUUUCCGAACUCCUCCGAGACAGAACCUUUAAAGCCCCUUGAGCCCGGUACCUACCAGUCGUUGCGAGGCUCUGGAGAAAGAAGGGUUAUUUCCUGAAGAUUUGAUAAAAAUGAAAUACGGUCUAUACAACAGACAAAAGUAUCACUGCCCGGGGGGUGCAUAAUCCGAUAUACCAGUUGUCAAACAAUUAGCGAUGAACCUUCCUGCGUGGAAAACUUGACCGUAUAUGGAAUUGAAAGAAAAACUUGACAUCGA